CUGUUUAACCGGUGGGAUCCACUUGGGUUUCGUUACGUCGGAGGAAAAAAACGAGGGCGAAGACUCGAAAAGUUUUAUGUGAAUUGCAGCCCACGUUGAACAUAGAAAUUUUGAACGCACAUUGCGGUGUUGAGUUGACUUGGACGCCGCGUCUGUCUGAGGGUCG
rnacentral:rRNA from 1 species